rnacentral:SRP_RNA from 1 species
UGCCGAGUCCCAUACAAUAGCGUCUUUGACGAAUCCCGCCAGAUCCGGAAGGAAGCAACGGUAAUCGAAGAACUAUGUGAUAUGGGGUGCUCGGCGCUU